rnacentral:rRNA from 1 species
CUUGCUCUCUGAUGGCGAGUGGCGAACGGGUGAGUAACAUAUCGGAACGUGCCUAGUAAUGGGGAAUAACUAAUCGAAAGAUUAGCUAAUACCGCAUACGACCUACGGGGGAAAGGGGGGGAUCGCAAGACCUCUCACUAUUGGAGCGGCCGAUAUCGGAUUAGCUAGUUGGUGGGGUAAAGGCUCACCAAGGCGACGAUCCAUAGCUGGUCUGAGAGGAUGAUCAGCCACACUGGGACUGAGACACGGCCCAGACUCC